AAAAGAAUGUGUCCUCUCAAAUAAACAUCUAGUAUAGUGGUAUUAUACUUUUUUGCUUCUCCUCUUGAUAUAAACAUGUAUUUUGGCUGCCAAAAAUGUUUACUUUGGGAAAAGAUAGGAAAACAUUUGAAGUUUAGCCUAUGGAGAACUUGAGUCUAAGUAACCUAACCGGGGGGGAUCCUGUGAAGUCUUAACAUGGACAAUAGAAAACUAAUGUCCAUAAAAAUCUCUUAAAUAGUUUGCGAAUUUUCUGUUUUAGAAGACUUCAUAAGGAUGCUCUAUAUUUGUUUGUUCCUGCUAUUGGACCAAGACAAGUGCUAGAUAAUGUAGUCUUCAUUUCUUUGAGAG
rnacentral:misc_RNA from 1 species